UACAGAGACCUCAAGCGUUAUCCGGAAUCAUUGGACGUAAAGCGUACCGAUAGGUGGUUUACCAAGUCAGAUGUGAAAUCUCCGAGCUCAACUCGGAAUCUGUCAUUUGAAACUGGUAGACUAGAGGGGCAAAGAGGAAGCUGGAACGAACGGUGUAGUAGUGAAAUGCGUUGAUAUCGUUCGGAACACCAAUAGCGAAGGCGGGCUUCUGGGUGCCACCUGACACUGCUAGGACGAAAGCGUGGGGAGCGAAUGGG
rnacentral:rRNA from 1 species